rnacentral:rRNA from 1 species
UACGUAGGUGGCAAGCGUUGUCCGGAUUUACUGGGCGUAAAGAGCGCGCAGGCGGUCGUUUAAGUCGAAUGUGAAAGCCCCCGGCUCAACUGGGGAGGGUCAUUCGAUACUGAUCGACUUGAAGGCAGGAGAGGGAAGUGGAAUUCCGGGUGUAGUGGUGAAAUGCGUAGAUAUCCGGAGGAACACCAGUGGCGAAGGCGACUUCCUGGCCUGUUCUUGACGCUGAGGCGCGAAAGUUGGGGGAGCAAACGGG